UGGGGAAUAUUGCGCAAUGGGGGAAACCCUGACGCAGCAACGCCGCGUGGAGGAAGAAGGUCUUCGGAUUGUAAACUCCUGUCUUCUGGGACGAUAAUGACGGUACCAGAGGAGGAAGCCACGGCUAACUACGUGCCAGCAGCCGCGGUAAUACGUAGGUGGCGAGCGUUGUCCGGAAUUAUUGGGCGUAAAGGGCGCGUAGGCGGCUCUUUAAGUUAGAUGUGAAAACCCAGGGCUUAACUCUGGGACUGCAUUUAAAACUGAAGGGCUCGAGUGCAGGAGAGGUAAGUGGAAUUCCUAGUGUAGCGGUGAAAUGCGUAGAUAUUAGGAGGAACACCAGUGGCGAAGGCGACUUACUGGACUGUAACUGACGCUGAGGCGCGAAAGCGUGGGGAGCAAACAGGAUUAGAUACCCU
rnacentral:rRNA from 1 species